CCUGACCAGCUGAGGAGGGGACUGAUGAAACAGCUUUGAUGGUCACUAGGAGUCCAGCCAGGGGAAGUGAAGAACUAACCUAUAGUACAUCUAAACAAAGCUAUCUGUAAAGAUCUUAUUAGCAGUGGAGACCAUAAAACUGAAGAGUCUGACUUGGUGUGGGAUGGACAGGAUCAGUUAAGUUAGGACAUGGUCUGUACUACUUUUGCAGUCUGCACUCCUACUACAGAAUGACAGAUACAACCUACGACAAGAGCAAGUACCACUUGUCAGAUCCAGAGGAUGACCAGAACUUCAACAGGACUGCAACAGUCGCUCUCGACAAGAUUACGAUCAUCACUUCAACAGAACUGCAAUCAUCAUCCAGACCAUUUCCUUUUAUUUUGCCUCCAAGGGGACCACAUGGUGGUCAGCACAGGGGUGGAUGAACA